UGGGGAAUAUUGCACAAUGGGGGAAACCCUGAUGCAGCGACGCCGCGUGAGCGAUGAAGUAUUUCGGUAUGUAAAGCUCUAUCAGCAGGGAAGAAAAUGACGGUACCUGACUAAGAAGCCCCGGCUAACUACGUGCCAGCAGCCGCGGUAAUACGUAGGGGGCAAGCGUUAUCCGGAUUUACUGGGUGUAAAGGGAGCGUAGACGGCAUGGCAAGCCAGAUGUGAAAUACCGGGGCUCAACCCCGGGACUGCAUUUGGAACUGUUAAGCUGGAGUGUCGGAGAGGCAGGCGGAAUUCCUAGUGUAGCGGUGAAAUGCGUAGAUAUUAGGAGGAACAUCAGUGGCGAAGGCGGCCUGCUGGACGAUGACUGACGUUGAGGCUCGAAAGCGUGGGGAGCAAACAGG
rnacentral:rRNA from 1 species